UACGGGGGGGGCAAGCGUUGUUCGGAAUUACUGGGCGUAAAGGGCUCGUAGGCGGCCAACUCAGUCGGACGUGAAAUCCCUCGGCUUAACCGGGGAACUGCGUCCGAUACUGGAUGGCUUGAGUGUGGGAGAGGGAUGCGGAAUUCCAGGUGUAGCGGUGAAAUGCGUAGAUAUCUGGAGGAACACCGGUGGCGAAGGCGGCAUCCUGGACUACUACUGACGCUGAGGAGCGAAAGCCAGGGGAGCAAACAGG
rnacentral:rRNA from 1 species